GCAAGUCGAGCGGACAGAUGGGAGCUUGCUCCCUGAUGUUAGCGGCGGACGGGUGAGUAACACGUGGGUAACCUGCCUGUAAGACUGGGAUAACUCCGGGAAACCGGGGCUAAUACCGGAUGCUUGAUUGAACCGCAUGGUUCAAUUAUAAAAGGUGGCUUUUACCUACCACUUACAAAUGGACCCGCGGCGCAUUACCUAUUUGGUGAGGUAACGGCUCACCAAGGCAACAAUGCGUACCCAACCUGAAAGGGUGAUCGGCCACACUGGGACUGAAACACGGCCCAAACUCCUACGGGAGGCACCAUUAGGGAAUCUUCCGCAAUGGACAAAAGUCUGACGGACCAACGCCGCGUGAGUGAUGAAGGUUUUCGGAUCGUAAAACUCUGUUGUUAGGGAAAAACAAUUACCGUUCAAAUAGGGCGGUACCUUGACGGUACCUAACCAAAAAGCCACGGCUAACUACUUGCCACCACCCGCGGUAAUACUUAGGUGGCAAGCGUUGUCCGGAAUUAUUGGCCGUAAAGCGCGCGCAGGCGGUUUCUUAAUUCUGAUGUGAAAGCCCCCGGCUCAACCGGGGAGGGUCAUUGAAAACUGGGGAUUUGAUUGCAAAAAAGGAGAGUGGAAUUUCCACGUGUACCGGUGAAAUGC
rnacentral:rRNA from 1 species